rnacentral:misc_RNA from 1 species
GCAGACAGGCCUGGGAGUUAGCUCUUCCCAAUUUGCAAGCGAGCUUUACGGCAGGCCGCAAGAGGGUGAGUGACCUAGCUGUUAAAAAGUCUUAAUGCAAACGUUGAGAUUUUGUCCUCAUUGAUCUUGCUUUUGCGAAAUGGGUCAGAUCUUGAUCGAAGCAGCCCUAAACAUGAGUUAAGAUGCUUUGAGGGUAGCAAAGUUGAGAAUGCUUUAAGGAAACUUCUUAGUAGCUAUGAAGCAAUCCCUUGUGUCUGC